rnacentral:rRNA from 1 species
AUUGAACGCUGGCGGCAGGCCUAACACAUGCAAGUCGAACGAGUGGCGGACGGGUGAGUAAUGUCUGGGAAACUGCCCGAUGGAGGGGGAUAACUACUGGAAACGGUAGCUAAUACCGCAUCCCAUCGGAUGUGCCCAGAUGGGAUUAGCUAGUAGGUGGGGUAAAGGCUCACCUAGGGGACGAUCCCUAGCUGGUCUGAGAGGAUGACCAGCCACACUGGAAAUGAGACACGGUCCAGACCCCUACGGGAGGCAGCAGUGGGGAAUAUUGCACAAUGGGAGCAAGCCUGAUGCAGCCAUGCCGCGUGUAUGAAGAAGGCCUUCGGGUUGUAAAGUACUUUCAGCGAGGAGGCGUUACUCGCAGAAGAAGCACCGGCUAACUCCGUGCCAGCAGCCGCGGUAAUUC